rnacentral:lncRNA from 1 species
AUGAUUUUGCUCCUCACUAACUCUCUCUGAUGGUAUUAAUGGGAAGAAGGGUGGAGUUCAGCAGUGCCACCUAAAUUACCCUAGACAAACACCAGAUUUCUAUUUCUAUUGUGUAGCAUCGUUGUCUAACACUUAAUGUGGUUUUACCAGGGGAAAGUUGAGGUGAGGUGUGAAGGCUGGGGCGGCACCAGAGGGCAAUUAGUGGAUUCAAGGCAUUUGGGUGCCUCUUAGGGACAGAGUUCUCCCUGCUCUCUGGAUUUAAGAGCUGCUCUUUGCUCUCUAGUGAGAAACAAAGUUGGGGGUGGGGAAUCCCUAUCUUAGCUGUUGCAAUCCCUGGGCUGCUUCAACGUUAAUAACAUUCCAAAAAUGCAACAGACUUUGUUUUUGCUGCUAUCGCGUAUGCCAGGCAUCUGGGGUGAGAGGAGGAAAAUGGAAACCUGAAAGCGUGCGAAACUGUGGAAUGAUCGAGGAAACUGAGGCUCAGAAAGAAGAUAAACAACUAGGUCAAGGUGGCAACAGGUGAACUGUGGCAGAGCGUGAUUUGCAUCCAGGUUCACCUGCCUCCAAAGCUUAUACUCCUUUCCGUGUGCUACACUACAUGAGUACCUCCCAAUCUUUGGAGCCAAGGUAUAAGCCCUAGAAGCACGUGUUGGCCCUUAAAAGUGGCCAUUUCAAAGGCACGAUGCUCCUUUGCUUGCAAAAAUUCUUGUUUGAUUUGUUAAAGGUCUAUUGUUUCAUUGGUCCCAUCUCAUUUUAUUUCAGAUAGAAAAUGUUUACAACUGAAAUAAUGGAAAGUUAUCCAUGAGCGAACGUGGCAAAUGUUGACAUUACCAUUUGGAACAAUGAGUCUCAGGAACUGGAGGUGGGAGGGGUGCUUGUGCUCACCCACAAGAAUCUCCAGGGCUAUGGCUGGGGGCCUGGACUGAAAACAAGGCAGUGCUUUCUUCUUGUGCUUUUGUGUCCCCUGAUAUUUAAUUUAUUUUGAAUUUCAGAAAAUGAAAGAAGGGCAUGAGACGUUUUAAAAUUUAUUAAAAGGUUUUCCAAAGCUUGUAAAAUACUAUAUAAGAAGACAUCCAUUUCAAUAUUAUACAUAUCUUAGCCUUUGUACAGGAAAACACUGACUGGUAAAAGCUAGAGGUACAGAGGUCAAAGAAAACAUAUCUUUCAAU